UUCAAGCAAACGUUGCAUGAU
ensembl:piRNA 21ur-2328 ncRNA